rnacentral:rRNA from 1 species
GGUUAAGCGACUAAGCGUACACGGUGGAUGCCCUGGCAGUCAGAGGCGAUGAAGGGCGUGCUAAUCUGCGAUAAGCGCCGGUAAGGUGAUAUGAACCGUUAUAACCGGCGAUACCCGAAUGGGGAAACCCAGUGUGACUCGUCACACUAUCAUUAACUGAAUCCAUAGGUUAAUGAGGCGAACCGGGGGAACUGAAACAUCUAAGUACCCCGAGGAAAAGAAAUCAACCGAGAUUCCCCCAGUAGCGGCGAGCGAACGGGGAGGAGCCCAGAGCCUGAAUCAGCAUGUGUGUUAGUGGAAGCGUCUGGAAAGGCGCGCGAUACAGGGUGACAGCCCCGUACACAAAAGCGCAUGUGCUGUGAGCUCGAUGAGUAGGGCGGGACACGUGGUAUCCUGUCUGAAUAUGGGGGACCAUCCUCCAAGGCUAAAUACUCCUGACUGACCGAUAGUGAACCAGUACCGUGAGGGAAAGGCGAAAAGAACCCCGGCGAGGGGAGUGAAAAAGAACCUGAAACCGUGUACGUACAAGCAGUGGGAGCACAGGUUUACCUGUGUGACUGCGUACCUUUUGUAUAAUGGGUCAGCGACUUAUAUUCUGUAGCAAGGUUAACCGUAUAGGGGAGCCGUAGGGAAACCGAGUCUUAACCGGGCGUUAAGUUGCAGGGUAUAGACCCGAAACCCGGUGAUCUAGCCAUGGGCAGGUUGAAGGUUGGGUAACACUAACUGGAGGACCGAACCGACUAAUGUUGAAAAAUUAGCGGAUGACCUGUGGCUGGGGGUGAAAGGCCAAUCAAACCGGGAGAUAGCUGGUUCUCCCCGAAAGCUAUUUAGGUAGCGCCUCGUGAAUUCAUCUCCGGGGUAGAGCACUGUUUCGGCUAGGGGGCCAUCCCGGCUUACCAACCCGAUGCAAACUGCGAAUACCGGAGAAUGUUAUCACGGGAGACACACGGCGGGUGCUAACGUCCGUCGUGAAGAGGGAAACAACCCAGACCGCCAGCUAAGGUCCCAAAGUCAUGGUUAAGUGGGAAACGAUGUGGGAAGGCCCAGACAGCCAGGAUGUUGGCUUAGAAGCAGCCAUCAUUUAAAGAAAGCGUAAUAGCUCACUGGUCGAGUCGGCCUGCGCGGAAGAUGUAACGGGGCUAAACCAUGCACCGAAGCUGCGGCAGCGACGCUGAUGCGUUGUUGGGUAGGGGAGCGUUCUGUAAGCCUGUGAAGGUGGCCUGUGAGGGUUGCUGGAGGUAUCAGAAGUGCGAAUGCUGACAUAAGUAACGAUAAAGCGGGUGAAAAGCCCGCUCGCCGGAAGACCAAGGGUUCCUGUCCAACGUUAAUCGGGGCAGGGUGAGUCGACCCCUAAGGCGAGGCCGAAAGGCGUAGUCGAUGGGAAACGGGUUAAUAUUCCCGUACUUGGUGUUACUGCGAAGGGGGGACGGAGAAGGCUAUGUUGGCCGGGCGACGGUUGUCCCGGUUUAAGCGUGUAGGUGUGUGUUCCAGGUAAAUCCGGUUCACUUUAACACUGAGGCGUGAUGACGAGGCACUACGGUGCUGAAGCAACAAAUGCCCUGCUUCCAGGAAAAGCCUCUAAGCAUCAGGUAACAUCAAAUCGUACCCCAAACCGACACAGGUGGUCAGGUAGAGAAUACCAAGGCGCUUGAGAGAACUCGGGUGAAGGAACUAGGCAAAAUGGUGCCGUAACUUCGGGAGAAGGCACGCUGACACGUAGGUGAAGUGAUUUACUCAUGGAGCUGAAGUCAGUCGAAGAUACCAGCUGGCUGCAACUGUUUAUUAAAAACACAGCACUGUGCAAACACGAAAGUGGACGUAUACGGUGUGACGCCUGCCCGGUGCCGGAAGGUUAAUUGAUGGGGUCAGCGCAAGCGAAGCUCCUGAUCGAAGCCCCGGUAAACGGCGGCCGUAACUAUAACGGUCCUAAGGUAGCGAAAUUCCUUGUCGGGUAAGUUCCGACCUGCACGAAUGGCGUAAUGAUGGCCAGGCUGUCUCCACCCGAGACUCAGUGAAAUUGAACUCGCUGUGAAGAUGCAGUGUACCCGCGGCAAGACGGAAAGACCCCGUGAACCUUUACUAUAGCUUGACACUGAACAUUGAGCCUUGAUGUGUAGGAUAGGUGGGAGGCUUUGAAGCGUGGACGCCAGUCUGCAUGGAGCCGGCCUUGAAAUACCACCCUUUAAUGUUUGAUGUUCUAACGUGGACCCGUGAUCCGGGUUGCGGACAGUGUCUGGUGGGUAGUUUGACUGGGGCGGUCUCCUCCUAAAGAGUAACGGAGGAGCACGAAGGUUGGCUAAUCCUGGUCGGACAUCAGGAGGUUAGUGCAAUGGCAUAAGCCAGCUUGACUGCGAGCGUGACGGCGCGAGCAGGUGCGAAAGCAGGUCAUAGUGAUCCGGUGGUUCUGAAUGGAAGGGCCAUCGCUCAACGGAUAAAAGGUACUCCGGGGAUAACAGGCUGAUACCGCCCAAGAGUUCAUAUCGACGGCGGUGUUUGGCACCUCGAUGUCGGCUCAUCACAUCCUGGGGCUGAAGUAGGUCCCAAGGGUAUGGCUGUUCGCCAUUUAAAGUGGUACGCGAGCUGGGUUUAGAACGUCGUGAGACAGUUCGGUCCCUAUCUGCCGUGGGCGCUGGAGAACUGAGGGGGGCUGCUCCUAGUACGAGAGGACCGGAGUGGACGCAUCACUGGUGUUCGGGUUGUCAUGCCAAUGGCACUGCCCGGUAGCUAAAUGCGGAAGAGAUAAGUGCUGAAAGCAUCUAAGCACGAAACUUGCCCCGAGAUGAGUUCUCCCUGAGACUUAGAGUCUCCUGAAGGAACGUUGAAGACGACGACGUUGAUAGGCCGGGUGUGUAAGCGCAGCGAUGCGUUGAGCUAACCGGUACUAAUGAACCGUGAGGCUUAACCUU